AGUGAACGCUGGCGGUAGGCCUAACACAUGCAAGUCGAGCGGCAGCACAAUAAGAUCUAGCUCCUACGGUUGGCGAGUGGCGGACGGGUAAGAAAUACAUCGGAAUCUACUUAUUCGUGGGGGAUAACGGAGGGAAACUUACGCUAAUAGCUCAUACGACCUACGGGUUAAAGCAGGGGAUCUUCGGACCUUGCGCGUCUCAAUGAGCCGAAGUCGGAUUAGCUAGUUGGCGGGGUAAAGGCCCACCAAGGCGACGAUCCGUAGCUGGUCUGAGAGGAUGAUCAGCCACACUGGAACUGAGACACGGUCCAGACUCCUACGGGAGGCAGCAGUAGGGAAUAUUGCACAAUGGGCGAAAGCCUGAUCCAGCCAUGCCGCGUGGGUGAAGAAGGUCUUCGGGUUGUAAAGCUCUUUUAUUGGGAAAGAAAAGAAGUAGAAGAAUCCCCCGACGUUCUGACGGUACCCAAAGAAUAAGCACCGGCUAACUUCGUG
rnacentral:rRNA from 1 species